AUACUAAGCCUCAUAUCAACUGAACAGUCUAUCUUCUUCAAGCAACGCUUCGUUCACCAUCAACUCAAUCAAAAUGACUCCCUGCUCCUGCAACACCUGCUCCUGCUCCAGCGACUGCAACGGCUGCUCCUGCUCCUCUUGCGGUGUAUGUAUCUCCCAGAUAU
rfam:Aspergillus fumigatus Af293 chromosome 7, whole genome shotgun sequence.